UACGUAGGUGGCAAGCGUUAUCCGGAUUUAUUGGGCGUAAAGGGAACGCAGGCGGUCUUUUAAGUCUGAUGUGAAAGCCUUCGGCUUAACCGGAGUAGUGCAUUGGAAACUGGGAGACUUGAGUGCAGAAGAGGAGAGUGGAACUCCAUGUGUAGCGGUGAAAUGCGUAGAUAUAUGGAAGAACACCAGUGGCGAAAGCGGCUCUCUGGUCUGUAACUGACGCUGAGGAGCGAAAGCGUGGGGAGCGAACAGG
rnacentral:rRNA from 1 species